GAUGAACGCUGGCGGCGUGUCUAAUACAUGCAAGUCGAGCGAACGGACGAGAAGCUUGCUUCUCUGAUGUUAGCGGCGGACGGGUGAGUAACACGUGGAUAACCUACCUAUAAGACUGGGAUAACUUCGGGAAACCGUAGCUAAUACCGGAUAAUAUUUUGAACCGCAUGGUUCAAAAGUGAAAGACGGUCUUGCUGUCACUUAUAGAUGGAUCCGCGCUGCAUUAGCUAGUUGGUAAGGUAACGGCUUACCAAGGCAACGAUGCAUAGCCGACCUGAGAGGGUGAUCGGCCACACUGGAACUGAGACACGGUCCAGACUCCUACGGGAGGCAGCAGUAGGGAAUCUUCCGCAAUGGGCGAAAGCCUGACGGAGCAAAGCCGCGUGAGUGAUGAAGGUCUUCGGAUCGUAAAACUCUGUUAUUAGGGAAGAACAUAUGUGUAAGUAACUGUGCACAUCUUGACGGUACCUAAUCAGAAAGCCACGGCUAACUACGUG
rnacentral:rRNA from 1 species